rnacentral:rRNA from 1 species
ACGAAGGGUGCAAGCGUUAAUCGGAAUUACUGGGCGUAAAGGGUGCGUAGGCGGUUCGUUAAGUCUGUCGUGAAAUCCCCGGGCUCAACCUGGGAAUGGCGAUGGAUACUGGCGAGCUAGAGUGUGUCAGAGGAUGGUGGAAUUCCCGGUGUAGCGGUGAAAUGCGUAGAUAUCAAGAGGAACACCUGAGGUGAAGACGGGUUGCUGGGCUGACACUGACGCUGAGGCGCGAAAGCUAGGGUAGCAAACGGGA